UGGCUCAGGAUGAACGCUGGCGGCGUGCUUAACACAUGCAAGUCGAACGGGAUCCCUGGCAGCUUGCUGUCGGGGUGAGAGUGGCGAACGGGUGAGUAAUGCGUGACCAACCUGCCCUGUGCACCGAAUAGCUCCUGGAAACGGGUGGUAAUACCGGAUGCUCCGCUCCAUCGCAUGGUGGGGUGGGAAAUGCUUUUUGCGGCAUGGGAUGGGGUCGCGUCCUAUCAGCUUGUUGGCGGGGUGAUGGCCCACCAAGGCGUUGACGGGUAGCCGGCCUGAGAGGGUGACCGGCCACAUUGGGACUGAGAUACGGCCCAGACUCCUACGGGAGGCAGCAGUGGGGAAUAUUGCACAAUGGGCGCAAGCCUGAUGCAUCGACGCCGCGUGCGGGAUGGAGGGCCUUCGGGUUGUAAACCGCUUUUGUUCAAGGGCAAGGCACG
rnacentral:rRNA from 1 species